AGCGAGAAACCACCCCGGGGCGCCCAAAAAGAAAGGGAAGAAAGGCAAAGCCAAGGGCAAUCCGAUCGUUGAUGGGCUAGCUCCAGAAGACAUGAGCAAGGAGCAGGUGGAGGAGCACAUUGGCCGCAUCCGGGAGGAGCUGGACCGUGAGCGGGAGGAGCGCAACUAUUUCCAGCUGGAGCGGGACAAGAUCCACACCUUCUGGGAGAUCACACGGAGGCAGCUGGAGGAGAAGAAGGCCGAGCUGCGGAACAAAGACCGGGAGAUGGAGGAGGCUGAGGAGAGGCACCAGGUGGAGAUUAAGGUGUACAAGCAGAAGGUGAAGCACCUGCUGUACGAGCACCAGAACAACCUGACGGAGAUGAAGGCGGAGGGCACUGUGGUCAUGAAGCUGGCGCAGAAGGAGCACCGCACACAGGAGGGCGCGCUGCGCAAGGACAUGCGGGCGCUGAAGGUGGAGCUCAAGGAGCAAGAGCUGGCCAGUGAGGUGGUGGUGAAGAACCUGCGGCUGAAACACACCGAGGAGAUCACAAAGAUGCGCAGUGACUUUGAGAGGCAAGUUCGAGAAAUUGAAGCCAAGUAUGAUAAGAAGAUGAAGAUGCUGAGGGACGAGCUCGACCUGCGGAGAAAGACUGAGGUCCAUGAAGUGGAGGAGAGGAAGAAUGGCCAGAUCAGCACGUUAAUGCAGCGCCACGAGGAGGCCUUCACUGACAUCAAGAACUACUACAACGACAUCACUCUCAACAACCUGGCCCUCAUCAAUUCUCUCAAGGAGCAGAUGGAGGACAUGCGCAAGAAGGAGGAGCACCUGGAGAGGGAGAUGGCCGAGGUGGCCACGCAGAACAAGCGUCUGGCAGACCCUCUCCAGAAGGCUCGGGACGAGAUGAGUGAGAUGCACAAGAAGCUUGGGAACUACGAGAGGGACAAGCAGAUCCUGGUCUGCACAAAAGCACGUUUGAAAGUCACUGAGAAAGAGCUGAGAGACCUUCAGUGGGAACACGAGGUGCUGGAGCAGCGCUUCAUUCAGGUGCAGCAGGAACGGGACGAGCUCUACCGGAAGUUCACCACGGCCAUCCAGGAAGUUCAGCAGAAGACGGGCUUCAAGAACCUGGUGCUGGAGCGCAAGCUGCAGGCACUGAGUGCCACUGCGGAGAAGAGGGAGGUGCAACUAAACGAGGUUCUGGCUGCCUCCAACCUGGACCCCACGGCCUUGACACUCGUGUCCCGCAAGCUUGAGGACGUUCUAGAGUCAAAAAAUAACACCAUCAAGGACUUGCAGUAUGAGCUGGCCCGGGUCUGCAAGGCCCAUAACGACCUGCUGCACACGUACGAGGCGAAGUUGCUGGCCUUUGGGGUCCCCCUGGACAACGUGGGAUUCAAGCCCCUGGAGACAGCUGUGGUUGGACAGACUCUGGGCCAGGGCCCUGCAGGACUUGUGGGCACCCCGACCUAACCACCCUGCUCAGAGGCCACUCUGGAUGACACCUAGUUCACACAGAUUUGGGCACCGUGCGGUCGGCCGGGCGGGCUCCCUGCUCCUGCGCUGUGUCACAGGCUGGCAAGGACUGGACUGGCAGGUGUGGAUGCGAGCCCUUCAGAGGCAGAUUAUCUUCACUGAGGCUUAGUGAUAUUACUGCUGCAAGAGUCUUUGUCUUGACGAUGUUUGACAAGGCAUUGGUAUCAUCUCCACAAUGUGACUUCACUGCCAUAUCAUCAACUCUGGCCUUGCUUGACCUCAGCUGGCAGUGUCCUGCCUGGAUCAGCCAGUGAGCUAGAGUCACAGAGACCCUUCCUCAGUCCAGUGGUGUCACCUUGCAGUUCUCGUGACAGUGACCUCAGGCAGCUGUACCCAGAGCACCCUGGUCCUCCCUUCGAUCCCGGGAGUCUUCCUGGCAUAGGCCAAGGGAGACUUGGCAGGUGGUAAUGAAUAAGGCUCAGCCUACAGAGACCCCCACAGACGGUAAAGGGAGAUGGGCCUCACUUCCUCAGUGAGGCUCGCCCUUCACUGCCCUCACCCGAUGGCCAGCAGGGUCUGAGACCACCAGCAGGGCAUCCAGAGCCACCUUUUGCUCCAGGAAACCAUGGCUCCUACUUCCUCCCAGUCAGCAACUUGGCAAGCACAGGGGCUUCUCGGCACCCACCAGAGGGCACCACCUGGCCUAGGGUAACCAGCUGCUGUCUGGUGAGUAGCCAACACCUUCCCACCUCGGCCCAGUACUCAGCAGCACCCCGUAGGCAGAGGGAGAGAGGAGGCUCGGGCAGCAGGACCAGAACCGCGUGUCUGGGUGUGUGAGUCUCAGGGAUGACAGGAUCAUGUGGCCUCACCCUCCCCAUUCUAGCAGGGUUUGGAGCAGUCUGUGUCUCCCACAGGUGGGAGAUACUUGGUGCUCGAAUGUAGGGUGUUACGAAAUACUGAGAAGAGAGAUGGAGAAGUGAGAGCAGAGGGCUGAAGCUCCCUUGGAGCAGAAUCCAAACUGGCCUAGAGCAGAGCCCAUUUAUUCCCAACGAAAUUGGAGAAGCGACUGGUCUUGAGGUGGUGAUCCCUGGUGUCAGUGGAGGAGGCACAGUUCCAAGAAGCUGCAGGUUUGCCCCAAGCCCUUCGUGGGACGAGUCUUUCCUCUGUGGAAUUGGUAAUUCGGCUAACCUUCUGUAAGGACACAAGUCCACAGAGUUGACCACAUCAGCACCAUGGGGCAACCGUCUGUGGACUUGGGAGCAUCCUGAUGACCUGAAAGGAAACUCGGCAACCUCAAGGAGUCACUUCCCCACCUCAGCGCUGUCCACUGUGCAUCUGCUUUCUGUCUCUGGACCCACCUGUCCUGGAAGGUCCACAUACAUGGGCUCACACACUGUGUGGCCUUUGGUGCCCUGACUCAUUCACUUCUGUCAUUUCUGUGGUUUGUCUGUGUCAUGACAUGCACGAGUCCUUCACUCUUUUGAUGUCUGAUGAAAUAGACAUGAGAGUAUUUACCAA